rnacentral:rRNA from 1 species
CUGCCCCUGACUCUGGGAUAAGCGUUGGAAACGACGUCUAAUACUGGAUAUGACUGCCGGCCGCAUGGUCUGGUGGUGGAAAGAUUUUUUGGUUGGGGAUGGACUCGCGGCCUAUCAGCUUGUUGGUGAGGUAAUGGCUCACCAAGGCGACGACGGGUAGCCGGCCUGAGAGGGUGACCGGCCACACUGGGACUGAGACACGGCCCAGACUCCUACGGGAGGCAGCAGUGGGGAAUAUUGCACAAUGGGCGAAAGCCUGAUGCAGCAACGCCGCGUGAGGGAUGACGGCCUUCGGGUUGUAAACCUCUUUUAGUAGGGAAGAAGCGAAAGUGACGGUACCUGCAGAAAAAGCACCGGCUAACUACGUGCCAGCAGCCGCGGUAAUACGUAGGGUGCAAGCGUUGUCCGGAAUUAUUGGGCGUAAAGAGCUCGUAGGCGGUUUGUCGCGUCUGCUGUGAAAUCCCGAGGCUCAACCUCGGGCUUGCAGUGGGUACGGGCAGACUAGAGUGCGGUAGGGGAGAUUGGAAUUCCUGGUGUAGCGGUGGAAUGCGCAGAUAUCAGGAGGAACACCGA